rnacentral:rRNA from 1 species
AGCGUACACGGUGGAUGCCCUGGCAGUCAGAGGCGAUGAAGGACGUGCUAAUCUGCGAUAAGCGUCGGUAAGGUGAUAUGAACCGUUAUAACCGGCGAUUUCCGAAUGGGGAAACCCAGUGUGUUUCGACACACUAUCAUUAACUGAAUCCAUAGGUUAAUGAGGCGAACCGGGGGAACUGAAACAUCUAAGUACCCCGAGGAAAAGAAAUCAACCGAGAUUCCCCCAGUAGCGGCGAGCGAACGGGGAGGAGCCCAGAGCCUGAAUCAGUGUGUGUGUUAGUGGAAGCGUCUGGAAAGGCGCGCGAUACAGGGUGACAGCCCCGUACACAAAAAUGCACAUACUGUGAGCUCGAUGAGUAGGGCGGGACACGUGGUAUCCUGUCUGAAUAUGGGGGGACCAUCCUCCAAGGCUAAAUACUCCUGACUGACCGAUAGUGAACCAGUACCGUGAGGGAAAGGCGAAAAGAACCCCGGCGAGGGGAGUGAAAAAGAACCUGAAACCGUGUACGUACAAGCAGUGGGAGCCUCUUUUAUGGGGUGACUGCGUACCUUUUGUAUAAUGGGUCAGCGACUUAUAUUCUGUAGCAAGGUUAACCGAAUAGGGGAGCCGAAGGGAAACCGAGUCUUAACUGGGCGUUAAGUUGCAGGGUAUAGACCCGAAACCCGGUGAUCUAGCCAUGGGCAGGUUGAAGGUUGGGUAACACUAACUGGAGGACCGAACCGACUAAUGUUGAAAAAUUAGCGGAUGACUUGUGGCUGGGGGUGAAAGGCCAAUCAAACCGGGAGAUAGCUGGUUCUCCCCGAAAGCUAUUUAGGUAGCGCCUCGUGAACUCAUCUCCGGGGGUAGAGCACUGUUUCGGCAAGGGGGUCAUCCCGACUUACCAACCCGAUGCAAACUGCGAAUACCGGAGAAUGUUAUCACGGGAGACACACGGCGGGUGCUAACGUCCGUCGUGAAGAGGGAAACAACCCAGACCGCCAGCUAAGGUCCCAAAGUCAUGGUUAAGUGGGAAACGAUGUGGGAAGGCCCAGACAGCCAGGAUGUUGGCUUAGAAGCAGCCAUCAUUUAAAGAAAGCGUAAUAGCUCACUGGUCGAGUCGGCCUGCGCGGAAGAUGUAACGGGGCUAAACCAUGCACCGAAGCUGCGGCAGCGACGCUGAUGCGUUGUUGGGUAGGGGAGCGUUCUGUAAGCCUGUGAAGGUGUGCUGUGAGGCAUGCUGGAGGUAUCAGAAGUGCGAAUGCUGACAUAAGUAACGAUAAAGCGGGUGAAAAGCCCGCUCGCCGGAAGACCAAGGGUUCCUGUCCAACGUUAAUCGGGGCAGGGUGAGUCGACCCCUAAGGCGAGGCCGAAAGGCGUAGUCGAUGGGAAACAGGUUAAUAUUCCUGUACUUGGUGUUACUGCGAAGGGGGGACGGAGAAGGCUAUGUUGGCCGGGCGACGGUUGUCCCGGUUUAAGCGUGUAGGCUGGUUUUCCAGGCAAAUCCGGAAAAUCAAGGCUGAGGCGUGAUGACGAGGCACUACGGUGCUGAAGCAACAAAUGCCCUGCUUCCAGGAAAAGCCUCUAAGCAUCAGGUAACAUCAAAUCGUACCCCAAACCGACACAGGUGGUCAGGUAGAGAAUACCAAGGCGCUUGAGAGAACUCGGGUGAAGGAACUAGGCAAAAUGGUGCCGUAACUUCGGGAGAAGGCACGCUGAUAUGUAGGUGAAGUCCCUCGCGGAUGGAGCUGAAAUCAGUCGAAGAUACCAGCUGGCUGCAACUGUUUAUUAAAAACACAGCACUGUGCAAACACGAAAGUGGACGUAUACGGUGUGACGCCUGCCCGGUGCCGGAAGGUUAAUUGAUGGGGUUAGCGCAAGCGAAGCUCUUGAUCGAAGCCCCGGUAAACGGCGGCCGUAACUAUAACGGUCCUAAGGUAGCGAAAUUCCUUGUCGGGUAAGUUCCGACCUGCACGAAUGGCGUAAUGAUGGCCAGGCUGUCUCCACCCGAGACUCAGUGAAAUUGAACUCGCUGUGAAGAUGCAGUGUACCCGCGGCAAGACGGAAAGACCCCGUGAACCUUUACUAUAGCUUGACACUGAACAUUGAGCCUUGAUGUGUAGGAUAGGUGGGAGGCUUUGAAGUGUGGACGCCAGUCUGCAUGGAGCCGACCUUGAAAUACCACCCUUUAAUGUUUGAUGUUCUAACGUUGACCCGUGAUCCGGGUUGCGGACAGUGUCUGGUGGGUAGUUUGACUGGGGCGGUCUCCUCCUAAAGAGUAACGGAGGAGCACGAAGGUUGGCUAAUCCUGGUCGGACAUCAGGAGGUUAGUGCAAUGGCAUAAGCCAGCUUGACUGCGAGCGUGACGGCGCGAGCAGGUGCGAAAGCAGGUCAUAGUGAUCCGGUGGUUCUGAAUGGAAGGGCCAUCGCUCAACGGAUAAAAGGUACUCCGGGGAUAACAGGCUGAUACCGCCCAAGAGUUCAUAUCGACGGCGGUGUUUGGCACCUCGAUGUCGGCUCAUCACAUCCUGGGGCUGAAGUAGGUCCCAAGGGUAUGGCUGUUCGCCAUUUAAAGUGGUACGCGAGCUGGGUUUAGAACGUCGUGAGACAGUUCGGUCCCUAUCUGCCGUGGGCGCUGGAGAACUGAGGGGGGCUGCUCCUAGUACGAGAGGACCGGAGUGGACGCAUCACUGGUGUUCGGGUUGUCAUGCCAAUGGCACUGCCCGGUAGCUAAAUGCGGAAGAGAUAAGUGCUGAAAGCAUCUAAGCACGAAACUUGCCCCGAGAUGAGUUCUCCCUGACUCCUUGA